rnacentral:rRNA from 1 species
CCUACGGUGGCUGCAGUGGGGAAUAUUGGACAAUGGGCGAAAGCCUGAUCCAGCCAUGCCGCGUGUGUGAAGAAGGCCUUCGGGUUGUAAAGCACUUUCAGUGGGGAAGAAAGCCUUGGGGCUAAUACCCUCGAGGAAGGACAUCACCCACAGAAGAAGCACCGGCUAGCUCCGUGCCAGCAGCCGCGGUAAUACGGAGGGUGCGAGCGUUAAUCGGAAUUACUGGGCGUAAAGCGCGCGUAGGCGGUCUGAUAAGCCGGUUGUGAAAGCCCCGGGCUCAACCUGGGAACGGCAUCCGGAACUGUCAGGCUAGAGUGCAGGAGAGGAAGGUAGAAUUCCCGGUGUAGCGGUGAAAUGCGUAGAGAUCGGGAGGAAUACCAGUGGCGAAGGCGGCCUUCUGGACUGACACUGACGCUGAGGUGCGAAAGCGUGGGUAGCAAACAGGAUUAGAUACCCCAGUAGUC